rnacentral:rRNA from 1 species
UACGGGGGGGGGCAAGCGUUGUUCGGAAUUACUGGGCGUAAAGGGCGUGUAGGCGGCCAACUAAGUCCGACGUGAAAUCCCCAGGCUUAACCUGGGAACUGCGUCGGAUACUGGAUGGCUUGAAUCCGGGAGAGGGAUGCAGAAUUCCAGGUGUAGCGGUGAAAUGCGUAGAUAUCGUUUGGAACGCCAAUGGUGAAAACAGACAGCUGGGAGUGUGCUGACGCUGAGACACGAAAGCCAGGGGAGCGAACGGG